GGGUUGUGAGGUUAAGCGACUAAGCGUACACGGUGGAUGCCCUGGCAGUCAGAGGCGAUGAAGGACGUGCUAAUCUGCGAUAAGCGUCGGUAAGGUGAUAUGAACCGUUAUAACCGGCGAUUUCCGAAUGGGGAAACCCAGUGUGUUUCGACACACUAUCAUUAACUGAAUCCAUAGGUUAAUGAGGCGAACCGGGGGAACUGAAACAUCUAAGUACCCCGAGGAAAAGAAAUCAACCGAGAUUCCCCCAGUAGCGGCGAGCGAACGGGGAGCAGCCCAGAGCCUGAAUCAGUGUGUGUGUUAGUGGAAGCGUCUGGAAAGGCGCGCGAUACAGGGUGACAGCCCCGUACACAAAAAUGCACAUACUGUGAGCUCGAUGAGUAGGGCGGGACACGUGGUAUCCUGUCUGAAUAUGGGGGGACCAUCCUCCAAGGCUAAAUACUCCUGACUGACCGAUAGUGAACCAGUACCGUGAGGGAAAGGCGAAAAGAACCCCGGCGAGGGGAGUGAAAAAGAACCUGAAACCGUGUACGUACAAGCAGUGGGAGCCUCUUUAUGGGGUGACUGCGUACCUUUUGUAUAAUGGGUCAGCGACUUAUAUUCUGUAGCAAGGUUAACCGAAUAGGGGAGCCGAAGGGAAACCGAGUCUUAACUGGGCGUUAAGUUGCAGGGUAUAGACCCGAAACCCGGUGAUCUAGCCAUGGGCAGGUUGAAGGUUGGGUAACACUAACUGGAGGACCGAACCGACUAAUGUUGAAAAAUUAGCGGAUGACUUGUGGCUGGGGGUGAAAGGCCAAUCAAACCGGGAGAUAGCUGGUUCUCCCCGAAAGCUAUUUAGGUAGCGCCUCGUGAAUUCAUCUCCGGGGGUAGAGCACUGUUUCGGCAAGGGGGUCAUCCCGACUUACCAACCCGAUGCAAACUGCGAAUACCGGAGAAUGUUAUCACGGGAGACACACGGCGGGUGCUAACGUCCGUCGUGAAGAGGGAAACAACCCAGACCGCCAGUUAAGGUCCCAAAGUCAUGGUUAAGUGGGAAACGAUGUGGGAAGGCCCAGACAGCCAGGAUGUUGGCUUAGAAGCAGCCAUCAUUUAAAGAAAGCGUAAUAGCUCACUGGUCGAGUCGGCCUGCGCGGAAGAUGUAACGGGGCUAAACCAUGCACCGAAGCUGCGGCAGCGACACUAUGUGUUGUUGGGUAGGGGAGCGUUCUGUAAGCCUGUGAAGGUGGCCUGUGAGGGUUGCUGGAGGUAUCAGAAGUGCGAAUGCUGACAUAAGUAACGAUAAAGCGGGUGAAAAGCCCGCUCGCCGGAAGACCAAGGGUUCCUGUCCAACGUUAAUCGGGGCAGGGUGAGUCGACCCCUAAGGCGAGGCCGAAAGGCGUAGUCGAUGGGAAACAGGUUAAUAUUCCUGUACUUGGUGUUACUGCGAAGGGGGGACGGAGAAGGCUAUGUUGGCCGGGCGACGGUUGUCCCGGUUUAAGCGUGUAGGCUGGUUUUCCAGGCAAAUCCGGAAAAUCAAGGCUGAGGCGUGAUGACGAGGCACUACGGUGCUGAAGCAACAAAUGCCCUGCUUCCAGGAAAAGCCUCUAAGCAUCAGGUAACAUCAAAUCGUACCCCAAACCGACACAGGUGGUCAGGUAGAGAAUACCAAGGCGCUUGAGAGAACUCGGGUGAAGGAACUAGGCAAAAUGGUGCCGUAACUUCGGGAGAAGGCACGCUGAUAUGUAGGUGAAGCGACUUGCUCGUGGAGCUGAAAUCAGUCGAAGAUACCAGCUGGCUGCAACUGUUUAUUAAAAACACAGCACUGUGCAAACACGAAAGUGGACGUAUACGGUGUGACGCCUGCCCGGUGCCGGAAGGUUAAUUGAUGGGGUUAGCGGUAACGCGAAGCUCUUGAUCGAAGCCCCGGUAAACGGCGGCCGUAACUAUAACGGUCCUAAGGUAGCGAAAUUCCUUGUCGGGUAAGUUCCGACCUGCACGAAUGGCGUAAUGAUGGCCAGGCUGUCUCCACCCGAGACUCAGUGAAAUUGAACUCGCUGUGAAGAUGCAGUGUACCCGCGGCAAGACGGAAAGACCCCGUGAACCUUUACUAUAGCUUGACACUGAACAUUGAGCCUUGAUGUGUAGGAUAGGUGGGAGGCUUUGAAGUGUGGACGCCAGUCUGCAUGGAGCCGACCUUGAAAUACCACCCUUUAAUGUUUGAUGUUCUAACGUUGGCCCCUGAUCGGGGUUGCGGACAGUGUCUGGUGGGUAGUUUGACUGGGGCGGUCUCCUCCUAAAGAGUAACGGAGGAGCACGAAGGUUGGCUAAUCCUGGUCGGACAUCAGGAGGUUAGUGCAAUGGCAUAAGCCAGCUUGACUGCGAGCGUGACGGCGCGAGCAGGUGCGAAAGCAGGUCAUAGUGAUCCGGUGGUUCUGAAUGGAAGGGCCAUCGCUCAACGGAUAAAAGGUACUCCGGGGAUAACAGGCUGAUACCGCCCAAGAGUUCAUAUCGACGGCGGUGUUUGGCACCUCGAUGUCGGCUCAUCACAUCCUGGGGCUGAAGUAGGUCCCAAGGGUAUGGCUGUUCGCCAUUUAAAGUGGUACGCGAGCUGGGUUUAGAACGUCGUGAGACAGUUCGGUCCCUAUCUGCCGUGGGCGCUGGAGAACUGAGGGGGGCUGCUCCUAGUACGAGAGGACCGGAGUGGACGCAUCACUGGUGUUCGGGUUGUCAUGCCAAUGGCACUGCCCGGUAGCUAAAUGCGGAAGAGAUAAGUGCUGAAAGCAUCUAAGCACGAAACUUGCCCCGAGAUGAGUUCUCCCUGACCCUUUAAGGGUCCUGAAGGAACGUUGAAGACGACGACGUUGAUAGGCCGGGUGUGUAAGCGCAGCGAUGCGUUGAGCUAACCGGUACUAAUGAACCGUGAGGCUUAACCUUACAACGCCGAAG
rnacentral:rRNA from 1 species